GACCAUGUGGUAUUAUGGAAAGAGCACUGGAUUUGGAGUCAGAGAAUGUGGGUUCAAAUCCCACCUCUGUCA
rnacentral:tRNA from 1 species